AGAGAGAGAGAGAGAGAGAGAGAAAGGGUCCCCGACUUCCUCACAGGUAAUUAAAGGGACUGUUUUCAAGGUUGCAUGGGCAAAAGACAAUUCGGCCCUAAUGAAGCAUCGAUCGACUGCCAGUAAGGUAGAAAGAAGCUGACAUUCAUUCAAAGUCAAAAGCAGAACAAAACUUGGAUGUCUGGGCAAAGAAAACAGUGACACCUUAUCUGUUUUGAUUAAGAUAUGAAAAUGAAAUAAGCAAAGGGAGAGGAAGCUGACACAACAGAAGAAGAGGGCUGGAUCUUGAGAGACAGUUAUCUGGGUCCAGGGGCAACUCAGGUGGCCAUUGUUCUCAGACUUUCCCCUCUGCUUAUGUAGCUCCUAUAAUUGCCCUUCUUUCAGAAGGUACACUCCAGUGGGAAGAACUUGGGAUAUGGAGACAAGGAUCUAGAUUUGAAUCUCAACUCUGCUAUGUAUUACCGUGCAAGCUUGGACCAGCCGCUUUACCUCUAUGGGUUUCAUUUUCAUCAUCAUAGACAGCUAAGUGUCAUGGUAGAUAGGGAAGCACGCUUGACCCGGAAUUAGGAAGACCUGAGUUCAAAAGUGACUUCUGAUCCAAACUAGCUGUGUGAC